rnacentral:piRNA from 1 species
UGAGUUAAUGGUUUGUCUUUAGGCACAGC